UAGGGAAUCUUCGGCAAUGGACGAAAGUCUGACCGAGCAACGCCGCGUGAGUGAAGAAGGUUUUCGGAUCGUAAAACUCUGUUGUUAGAGAAGAACAAGGACGUUAGUAACUGAACGUCCCCUGACGGUAUCUAACCAGAAAGCCACGGCUAACUACGUGCCAGCAGCCGCGGUAAUACGUAGGUGGCAAGCGUUGUCCGGAUUUAUUGGGCGUAAAGCGAGCGCAGGCGGUUUCUUAAGUCUGAUGUGAAAGCCCCCGGCUCAACCGGGGAGGGUCAUUGGAAACUGGGAGACUUGAGGGCAGAAGAGGAGAGUGGAAUUCCAUGUGUAGCGGUGAAAUGCGUAGAUAUAUGGAGGAACACCAGUGGCGAAGGCGGCUCUCUGGUCUGUAACUGACGCUGAGGCUCGAAAGCGUGGGGAGCAAACAGG
rnacentral:rRNA from 2 species